AGAGUUUGAUCCUGGCUCAGAUUGAACGCUGGCGGCAGCCCUUAUACAUGCAAGUCGAACGAGAAAGUUCCUUCGGGGGCGAGUAAAGUGGCGGACGGGUGAGUAACGCGUAGGAAUCUACCUUUCAGUGGGGGAUAGCUCGGGGAAACUCGAAUUAAUACCGCAUACACCCUUCGGGGGAAAGGGGGCCUCUCCUUGGAAGCUCUCGCUGUUAGAUGAGCCUGCGUGAGAUUAGCUUGUUGGUAAGGUAAUGGCUUACCAAGGCUACGAUCUCUAGCUGGUCUGAGAGGACGAUCAGCCACACUGGGACUGGGACACGGCCCAGACUCCUACGGGAGGCAGCAGUAGGGAAUAUUGGACAAUGGGGGCAACCCUGAUCCAGGCAUGCCGCGUGUGUGAAGAAGGCCUUAGGGUUGUAAAGCACUUUAAGUGAGGAAGAAAAGAUUUAAAUUAAUACUUUAAGUCCCUGACAUUACUCACAGAAUAAGGACCGGCUAACUCCGUGCCAGCAGCCGCGGUAAUACGGAGGGUCCAAGCGUUAAUCGGAAUUACUGGGCGUAAAGCGCGCGUAGAUGGUUUAUUCAGUUGGGUGUGAAAUCCCUGGGCUCAACCUAGGAACUGCAUUCAAACUUAUAAACUAGAGUACGAAAGAGGAGAGUAGAAUUCAUGGUGUAGCGGUGAAAUGCGUAGAGAUCAUGAGGAAUACCAGUGGCGAAAGCGACUCUCUGGUUCGAGACUGACAUUGAGUGCGAAAGCGUGGGUAGCAAACAUGAUUAGAUACCCUGCUAGUCCACGCCGUAAACGAUGAGAACUAGCCGUUGGAUUCUUACGAUUCAGCGGCGCAGCUAACGCAUUAGUCUCCGCUGGGGGAAGUACUGCCGCAGCUAAACUCAAUGAUUGACGGGGCCGCCAACGCUGAAGCAUGUGGUUUAUCGAUGCACGGCGAAGACCUUAGCACCAUGACAUCAGUGGAAGUUUAAAGAUUAACUGUGCCUUGGAAACACU
rnacentral:rRNA from 1 species